AUAUCGGCUUUGAAGGAAUCCUAGUAGCGACUUAUAUCCCUGUCUCAGAGAACUGAUGGUGGUGCGAAUCAGUACAUAUACAAGCGUGAAUUACAAUUCUGGAGCUUCUUUCCCGUAGUGCACUAUUGCAUGAAGAGAAAGACGGAUCUUUCCGUUAUCUUAAAGUGAGUGGUAAACAAUUUUUUCUGUUUACAAGUAGGGUGGUACCGCGAUUUCUAUCGUCCCUAUC
rnacentral:ncRNA from 1 species